GAUGGAUACAGCAGAGCUAGUAUUCUCCAGUCGUGAAGAUCUUUGCUUUAUUCCUCUGGGGGAGGAGCCGAUUAGGCCAUAAUGGCUGCCCCUCAGCUGUUUUAGUCAUUAUUUGAUGAUGGAGAUCUUAACUCUUACCUGUGUGGCCAAGGACAGUAUAGAUCAGGCUCCUGACCCCGGAUUUCACCUGCCGUUCCUGGCUCGCAUCCGUCCUCCGUCGCCGACUUGGAAUGUGGCCCUCUCCUUCGUGAGGAUUUGAUUUCGACACAAACCCUUGGCCUUGGCCUUGCUGCUUCAGACCGAAUCAGGAGAGACAGCAGUUUGUGCCUCUGGACAAGUCCCCGGAGCCCUCCCAGUGCCCCGCCCCUCGUUUGUCACAGGGAAGUAGAUUUCAUUCGUUCAUUCCGCAGGGCUCUCCGUGCGCGGCCCCGGUGCGGGCGCAGGUCCGGCUCGGGGAGCCGGGGUCCGCCCCGCAGGCCAUGCUGGCGGGCCGGGAGUCUGCACCCCGAGCUUCGUGCUCUGGACGCGCGCCACUGCCCCAGCGCACAGCACCUGCCGUCCCUGUCACGCUGCUUGCCUUGUCGUCCCCACGUCUUCCCUCUCAGCCUCCCCAGGCUCACGGGGGACCUCAGUGUCCUCUGGGGACCUUCACGGAGGGUGACUUUCCUCCUUCCCUCCAUCGGAGCCUUGAGCUGGAGCCAAUGACUGCCCAGCUUAGUUAGCCUCAGUUUCCCCACCUGUAAAAAUGGAAGAAGGAUGAGGACACGAAUCUCUGCCAUGGCCGCUGGGCCUGCCGGGGAGAGAGAAGGGUUUCUGUUGUGGAACCCUAGUCCCGACCCCUUCUCCUCUGUCCCAUCCAGGCCCCUGAUCCUCACUCGUAAUUUGGGGGCCAGUUUGUCAUAUUUUCUUCCCCUUCAGAGCUGAGGCUUCUCCUACCAACACGUGCUUUCUCAAUACGAUCAAGUAAAACCUGGCCCACUAGCCUGGCGGGGCGGGACCCCACCCAGCAGGUGAUCCUGGUGUCAGCGGGAACCGGGGAGUCCACCAGCUGGAGCUGCUGGCGGCCGCCCAGAGGGGACGAAGGCCUGGCGCACGUGUCCUUGCCUCGGCCUCCCUUUGCUCAGUGGUCCCCCCGCCUCCGCUGCCCCCAGGCGCUGCUGGGCUCCCGGCCUCAUUUUCUGACAGGCCCUCCCGCGGGGCUUUUUGGGGAACCCCAGACUGGAGUUUGGACUUCUUUAAGGGCCAUUUGUCAUCUCUCUCUGCCCCUGGGGUCCCUCUGCUGCUGCCUUUCAACUCUAGACCCCCAUCCCCUCUCCUCCAUGCCCAUCUCUCAUAUAUGUACCCUUUGCAUGGUCCCUCUUCCCGCCCCCCGCCCCCAAAUCCCACCGCUCUGCAAGCCGCCUAUCCAGUCACUUAGUCCCCCGGUGAGCCGUGGGCCCAUGUCUUUGGUUCAGCUGUUUAUACAGCUGGCACGUGGCUUGAAGCAGCCACACCUGAGCCGCAGGUGAGGUCACUGAGGAUGGUCCCUGAGCUGCCUCUCCCAGGCUCUUUCUCCUGGCCACCCCUUCUCGGGGACUGAGGCCACCUGCCCGGAGGAAGAGCAGGCAGAGCAACGAGCGAGGGGAGCUGGGUUGGCUGGAAGAUGAGGCCAUACUACAUAGUGGCCGUUAUCUGGGGUGCAACUGGGCGUGAAGCGAAGUCGUUUUACGAGCUGGAAAGUGCUGGGCAGAUGUUGGAGAAAUGAGGCGGGGAGAGACCCUUCUUGGACCCUCGGCCCGCCUCCACGUGGCCCCCCAGGGAGCCACCCCUCCCCCAUGUUGCGAGCCUGUUGGUGGGUGCUGCUGCAUUUGCCACCUCACUAAAGGGCCAGAGUCGCGGGGGCCACAUCACCGGCCCCCUCACGGACAAGGAAGCUCUGAUGGGCGCAGCAAGGCCCGCUCGGCCCCACGUCCAGGGCGUGCCCCAUGCCCCGCAGUGGCCCCGUCUCCACUUGUCCCUCCUGGGCGCACGGGUGGAGGGUGGAGAGUAAGGGCUGCUCCGCGCAGAGCCUGAGUGCGGGGAGGGCUUUGGGUGCUGAGGGCACCGAAGCUCAUGUUUACGGUUUGCUCAUCGGAAGGCAAGAACUUACACUCUCCUGGCCAAGUCUGCCAUUCGGCAACCUUUCAUAAAAGCCCUGCAGGGAAGCUUCUGGAAAACUCCCUUCCUGCUUCUGACAGUUGCCCCAAACAGCAUGUUUCAAAAUGCGCAGAACACGUGGGCUGCGGAGCUCAGAGCUCGCUCUGGCCCGGCCGUCAGGGCGGUGGGCGCACAGCUACCGUCGCACUGCCUAGGCUUGCCCCUGCCCACUUGUCCCCAGACUCCCACUUCCGUGACCGUGGGGAGAGCCUUAAAUGGGUGCUCGUCUGUCUGUGGUUGAGACCAGCCCAUUUCUUGCACGGCAGAGAGAACCUGGCCGAGCUUAGCUCCUGGGCCAGAGCGGGGUGGCCCGGACCACGCUGAUCGGAGCAGGGAGUGCGUGGCUGGAGCACAGCCCCCCAGUCCAGUCUGCGGUGUGGCCAGCGUGGGUCUCAGCCUCCAGUGUCAGGGCUGGUGGGGGGCUGCACGACCAUGGGGCUGUGUUUCAGGAGGUCCCCAGCACAGGGAGGUCCCCAAAGCUGUGGCUUGGUUCUGUGAUAGGUUUAUAGAUGGGCAUUAAAGCCUUAAAAAGUUGAUUAAAAACGUUAUAAAAAGAGACUUCAUGGACCAGUGAAGGCUGGUGUCACAGAAUAAGGACUGCGAUCAGUCCACCUCUGUGUUUACCUGAGGUCGCAGACAAUAACAGUGACACUAACAACAGCAAGGAUGCCACGAGCUGAAAUCCGAGAGCCCGAGUCUGCCAGGCCGGCCCCAUGGGGCCCCUGUGUUCCUUAUCUCCGCAGACUCCCAGUGAGACCAGAAACCGAGGUCGUCGGCCUCUCCUCCCUCUCCUCCACCCUGCUCCAGCCUGAGUGCCCCGCAACCCCCAUUCACACCUCCUAGCAGCUCUGUCACACUGGGAAGGUGUCCCUGCCACCCCAGCCCCAACUGGAGCACAAGACCUGCCCCGUACAGAACUCCCGUGCUUAGUCCCAAAGCGGCCGUGCUACCCGGGAUGAUGAGUACCCUGCGGGCAGGACCAGGCUCUGCUCCAGCUCCUGUCCCCGUGACGGGCCUCCCAUUCUCAGACCGCCCUGUCCAGGAGUGUCGACACGUUCCCCGAGCCCUGUAGGUGAGGCAUGUGCUCAAACAGCUGGGUUUGGUUUUGUGACUUGACCCUCUUGUCUCGAAAGGUCAUUGCCACCGAGCCCCGGAGGUGUGGACGCUUGAGCGCAAGGCUGCUGAAGAGAGGAUGCCUCUGAUGGUGAAGCUGUCACUUCCUGGGAGGACUUCCCAAGCCGUUGCCCACCUGGAGGAAGAUGGCAGUCCCACGACAGCUCUGUGCCGGACUGUGCAGGAGGUGGUGCCGAUGUCAGGGAGGAGGCUGUGUUGCCAUCGAUGGUCCCUCUCUCUGGCCCUCGAAGACAGCUGUCCUUAGGCAUGUUCGUUUCUUUUACAACAAAUCAUUCCUGCCGACUCCUGCAGUAUCAAAAACUGGCUGGGAACACUUCCUGCACGACAGAACUUGUCACCCCCAUCCAGGGAGGACUUUGUGGAGGUGACGCCGAGCUCCGGGAAAGGAAGCGGCUCCUGGCCAGCUCUAAAGCCAAGGCACAGAGGUAGGAUACAGAUGUACAUCUGUUUUGAUGGCAGUAGGCCAUGACUCUGGGCUCUUUUGUAUGGCGUUUAGAAAGCGGCAUUGAGUCCUCAAAAAGGGCCAGGUUUUCCCACUCCAUCCCCACUUUGAUGAGAGCCAGACCAGGUGCGGUGGCAUGGACGCCUGGCAUAGCCUGCCUUUCGUAUCAGCUGAGGCCCAAACAUCGUUCCUUCUACUUGAAAAGAGCCUUGAGAGCAAGGGCGAGAAAGACAAGGAAACGGGACCGUGGCAAGUGCGCCACUGCCUCUGUCGUCUCCAGGGCAGGUGGCCGCUGGGUUCUGGCAGACUGGGCGCUCUGGUGGUUAAGCAGGAGUCAGAGGAGAGACUGCAAGGGUGUAGGGACGCAGCAUACGCAGCGAUUCUUUGUCCUCUGCCCUAGCGGCCAGCUCGGGAGAGCGGGGAGGGCGCAAAUGCGUAACUCUGUAAGAGGAAACCUGGAACUUUCUUCCCCUUGAUUUUGGGUUCCUAUCUUCCCAGUGCUGUCAGGGUUGACCGAUCAUUCUACUGAAAUGAAAAAACGUCUGUGGAUAGCAACAUUUCCCCCACAACGAAAAAACUGUGAUUAAAGUAGUAAAUAUCGCUCCGGAGGAUUUUCUGGAUAUGAAAUGGGCCAUUGGUGUCUGCAGCACUAUCAGUGAGUGGAUGGAUGGGGGACUGAGGACGUCACAAUGUGGUUUUGAUGUGCCCCUUCUGGGUCAUUGCUACCUAGGAUCCAGCCUCUCCCUAGAUGGAUUUUAAGUCCAUGAUCAUUACUUGGGGAAAGAGGCUUUGUCGUCAUCUCUGUGUCUAUUGUCCAGCUUUGCUUGACUUAUGAAUUAAAGACUCAAAUAGAUUGGAUGCUUUUCAGUGUCAGAUCCUGCCUGAGACGUAUUCCGGAUGUGACACCAACUUUAGAGAAGGGACGUUGGAGCCAUUGUCAGUGAAGGACGACUUCUGGGGAUGAAGCCUACUUUGGGGGGUGAAGGUAGGACUCAACCUGUCACCCUCCUCUUGGGCUGGCUGGCUGGCACAUUGUUCUCAUGGCGAUGGCAGAGGCACAAGAAAGUAAGUGGAAACCCAGGGGUACUUAAGAGUGAAACUUAGAACUGGCACAUUUCUGCCCACUUACCUUUGGCCAAAGAAAAAUCACAUGGCCAAGGCCAAGGGGUGGGAUGGAUACUCCAUCUGUGAGGAGGUCAUGGUGAGGGUGUGGGUGUGGGGAUGGGUGAAGAUGUGGAGCCACUGGGUCAGUCGUCCGCAUGGGCCACUGGGAACGUGGCUUUCAUUCAUCAUUCAUUCAUAACUCAUCAACCUGUACUGUCCUUUCUGCCACGGGAACACUUCGCGGAGCUGAGGCAGGCCAGCAGAGGUGACACAGUCAGGGCCCAAGGCCAUUCUGUUUCAUUCGAGGCGGCGUUGUCCAUGAGCCACCUUCUGUGUUUCUGACAAACAUUAAACCUUUCUCUGGUCCCCAUUGCUUGAAGGCUUGUUGCCCCGAGCCCUGGUAGGACCCAUUUGCUCUCAGGAAGUCCGCCGGAAGUGAUGCCCGCCUCGGAGAAGCAGCGCCGCCCAGCGGUUCUGACGUGCGGUACUUAGUGAGAAGUUGCCCGUGUCUUUUUCGCUUUAUUUGUGACGAAACAUUCGCGGUGCACUUCUUUUUCAGUAUCCAAUGCUGCCUUGAAGACUUCUUAGUUCGGGGGCCGAUUUCAGGGAGGGCACGUUGGCACUUGUAGAUUUCGGUCAAGAUUUUUGCUAAAUCCUUUCUCUCUGCCUCAGUUUCCCCCGAUUUCUUUCAUGAACGCUCCCUUCUUCCCGCCGUGUGGCUUGGGUUGGAUUUAAAACCCCGCCCCUACACGCGCGCAUGCGCACGC